AGCAUGGAUUCAUAUCAGAGAAUUGAUGCUGUCUUGCAGGCGAUGGAUUUGUCUGUAUACAGCUACGUAUCCACUCUUCACUUCGUCGAUUAACAAAUCCCGAAUAUGCCGUUCACUGCUAACAAUGACAAGGUUUUAUAUCUAAAGUGUGUGAUAUCUUAUUAGUUAUGUAUAGGUUUUAUAAAUUUAAAGACAUUUUGGUUGCUG